AGCGAACGCUGGCGGCAGGCCUAACACAUGCAAGUCGAACGAACUCUUCGGAGUUAGUGGCGGACGGGUGAGUAACACGUGGGAACGUGCCUUUAGGUUCGGAAUAACUCAGGGAAACUUGUGCUAAUACCGAAUGUGCCCUUCGGGGGAAAGAUUUCUCGCCUUUAGAGCGGCCCGCGUCUGAUUAGCUUGUGGGUGGGGUAAUGGCCCACCAAGGCGACGAUCAGUAGCUGGUCUGAGAGGAUGACCAGCCACAUUGGGACUGAGACACGGCCCAAACUCCUACGGGAGGCAACAGUGGGGAAUCUUGCGCAAUGGGCGAAAGCCUGACGCAGCCAUGCCGCGUGGAUGAUGAAGGUCUUAGGAUUGUAAAAUCCUUUCACCGGUGAAGAUAAUGACUGUAGCCGGAGAAGAAGCCCCGGCUAACUUCGUGCCAGCCGCCGCAGUAAUAC
rnacentral:rRNA from 1 species